GCGAGUGGCGGUUAGGAGCUCCCGUUGGCGGUUACAAGAAGCUCCCACACACACUCUCUCUCUCCCCCCGUGCGUGCGCUCGCUCUCCCCCAUCUCAUUUUGGUUUUUCAAGAAAGGUCUAGGGCGUCAGCAAGAACGACCCGCCUCAUCCACACCCUAGACGUGACCGGGCUUCAAGGUCUCCUCCUAUGGCUCCCUCAAGUUCGAGGAGGAGGACGGUGAGAUCAAUGACUCGUCGUCGUCAACGGGGAAGAUCACGCUGAGUGCGACGAAGAGCAAUUCAGAGACCGGCGAGGUAAUGGGCGUGUUGGAGAUCCUCCAGCCGUUUGAUGGGGAUUUGGUUCGUGGGUGCCCAAAGACGUCAAGAUCCAUAGCAUCUGGUAAUUGAAACUCACGCUGCGGCACAUUUAUGAGGUCUGAUUAUGAUGAUGGAAGAUGAAUUGGCUGCUGAACCAGUGUAUCCUACAGUUGUAAAUAACAAUAGCAUACAUUAGCAUGUCCAGCGAGUUGAAAACAUGUUGCUUUGUCUGACUCAAAGUGAUGGUUGGUGAAGAUUUGCUUUCUAUUACCAGCUGUCUGCUGCUAAUAUGGAUGGAACGAAAGAUAGGAAAGACCAUGGGUUUUUGUCCUUGCUGUGCUCAGACUUUUUAGCUCCACCAUGCAAAAUGGUACAAAACAUAGAUCGUGGGAUUUAUCUUUUCCGUCCUUGCUGCGGUCAUUUAUUUGCCUCCACUAGGAAAAUGGAUAUGAAUAUCCAAGUAGAUGGAACAUGAGACCGGGCAACGAUUAUAUAUGCUUAUGCCAAGACAUGCUUAUGCCAAGACGUGCUUUGAUGUUGAAGUGGCCACAAAUCCACAAGUGUUGAUGACUUAGCCAAAAUUUAUUGAUGAUUUGAGUUGGUUGAGGUGUUGAUAUAUGAUGAGAUAAAAAGUUGUGUCAUGAAGAAUCCACCUGUUUUGAUAUUUUUGUACAGAGAAACCCUGCUUAGGAGACAUUUAACCAUAUUGGAGUGCAAUAUUUCUCCUGCAUUUCUCUUUCAUGUUCUAGGGAGGAAAAAAUUAAAAGGAGGAAGAAAGAAUUUCAAUUAGGGGCAGAGAGAUGAAAUCAAGUGAAAGCAUUUGUUUAGGUAUGUAAUGUUCAUUUUUUUUUUUAAUCUCUCUCAUAAAAUGCAUGUUAUGAGUAAGAUGCAUGUUAGAUCAUCAAGUUGUAACUAAAUUGCAUAAGAUCAAAGUAUUGGUUCCAAACUUUGUUUGACAUUUUCUUCAUUAACAGUUCAUGACGUGGUAAAUAGCUAAAAGUACUCCAGCAUGCUUGAGUGACUUGUUUUUUUAACGUUAUAGUGGUAGGUAUUAAACCCUUUGAUCCAUGCAUUAGUUACUUUAACAAGCGGACAAACUUGCCCCACUUAUACAUUUUGCAAAUGGCAAUAUGCUGCAGGCAGCAGCAACAUGUAGCUUGCGGGAAUGGAGGUAGUGCUUUUUGGGAAUUUUACUGGCAUUUAUUUAACGGCACCCAAACUCAUGUCUCUCCCAAACCAGCGCAUGCCCAACGCUGGUGGGGUGCCGGUAGAGUGCACUUAUUAAACGUCGGGAAAGGCAAUAGAUGAUGUAGUGUAAUUGUUGUUUUUCUUGUUACUAGACCCUCUUUUACUUGUUAUUUUGUAUGGUUAUGCAAUUCACAUGCAUAGGUAGAUUCUUUUUUCCUUCUAUCUUUGUUCUUUCUCUUUUAAAAAAAGUUUUUGUGAACUUUUAAUAUUUAGAAGUUGCUAUUUGCCAUUUUCCACUUGGUAGCACACAUCUGGAGCAAAUUGAUCAAGAUGGGUGUGUCUUCUCCCAAUUGCUUUCAGGUUCCAAUGUUAUUGUCAAUGAAAAAGUUUUGAGUUGACCAUUUUCCCUUCUCUCCCAUUUGCUUACAGGUCAUUGUCGUGAUCUUUUGCCGUGAUUUUUGUCCUGCUUUCUUGAGAAGGUUUCACUCUCUCUCUCUUGUGCCACCUCCUUUCUCCUGCCUCUUUGUUUGCCUAUUGCAUUGAUUGUUCAUCUUCUUCUUAAUAACCUUCUUUUUUUGCCCCCCUUUAAGUUUUAGAGCCAGUUUUGCAACUCGUCUUCUUCUCUACAUUAGUGUCUCUAAUUUGGUUUUUAGAGCCAGUGACAAAGAGGGGUUUUAUCAAAACGUAUAUUGGGAAACAGGAAAGAAAGAGUAUGGGGAUCAAGAAAAAAUGUCCCAUCUCAGAGAAUCAUUUUCCACAUCUCCCACCCAAAAACUUGGUCCAUACCCACACCAUUCAUCCAUCAUUUUCAUUGCUCGUUUAUUCACUUCUUCUGUAGAAUUUUGAUGUUGGUUGUUUCAAUUAGCUAGACUUACCAUUGGAAUCUGUGUUUUUUGUUCAGUUUUAAGAGAUUCUUGGUGGAUAGAUGCAUGGGCUGAAUGUCUCUGCAUUAUUGAGACCGAGAACUUGUUGCGCCAAUAGGAACAAUGAAUGACAUGUACAUGUCAUGCGUUUGGAUCAUUUUAUUUUAAGUACGGCACAUCUUCUAUAUUAAGUAUCUCAGAAAUGCUUGAAAGCUUCGCUAAUGAAUCAUCAGGGCCAUCAAGUUUUGCAAGGUAAAUCAUGCCACGGCUCCCUUGGGGAAGUCACACCUGCUUAUAAGGGCCCCAUUAACAGAAAAAUGACAAAUGAAUGUUUUGAAUGUUAUAGCUUGCAAAAUGUUAUAGCUUGCAAUCCGAUUUUCGUCUCAAGAAAACUCAUGGCACAAAGAUCUUCAUGAUUGUUAGACUGAGCUGUUAUUAGAUGAAGCAAUAUUAGCUAUGUCUACAGCUUUGCUGACUUUACACAGGAGAGUGAUGGAAUGGAAACUGAAAAUUUUCAAGGAUUAAGAGAAUAGGAAUGGAUAAAACAAGAAAAUUUUAACAGCAAAAAAAUUGGAAAGCAUGAGAACGAAGGCGUAAAUGAAGAAUGCUUUGGUAUCAUAUCGCCCAUUACAUAAAUCUAACCCUGCAACAAAUGCAAUAAUUGUUCCCUUGCCAUUACCAACAUCCGCAUCCAAGAUCACUGACCUUUGAUGAUGAGGAUAAAUUGUUCCAACUUUCUUUUGCAUUUUUUCCUUUUCAUUUUAAUGAACCAAGGCACUGCAUUGUGUAACUGUAAUUUUGACGUUCCUAUAUUUGAUAUUCUACAUUGUUUUUUUCUCAAUUUUCUUGAUAGCAUGUAUCGGAGAUGUCUUGUAGGCUUGUAGCAGACUUGGCAUCGUGUUCAACCCAAUUGGUUUCUUUAUUCAGCUUCUUGAACGGAAGCCAUUUGACAUUUCCUUGAUAUUAGCUUAAAGAAUAGGGUUUUGCAGGCUCCAAUUGCAGGUCCACUUGGGUCAAGGACAAAGAAUGAAUCCGAUCUUUGGUUGGUGCAUGGGUUCCACUGACAUAAGAUGAAUAAGUCAUCCGCCUCCCCUUCCUUCUGUAUUUCGUUAUUUUGCUUUCUCUAUUGGCCAAUAAAAAGAUUUCUUAUGUAUUCGUUAUUUUGGUCUUCCAACGAAAUUUGCUUAAAAAAUAAAUGGCAUUGCUUCUGUGUUGCAGGAUACGAAUAUCCAAGUAGAUAGAACAUGAAACCGAGCAAGGAUUAGAUAUGCUCAUGCCAAGACGUGCUUAAAUGUUGAAAUGGCCACGAGCGCUGACGGCUAACUAAACUUUAUUGAUGUACGAAAAAAAAAGUAACUUUUUUGAAUGGGUCGUUCAUUGCUCUUUGAAGCUUCACAUGUGGACAAUGGUCAUGAACUAGAUGAAGGUACCAAGGAAAAAGAUGAGGUUCUCAGUCUAGGAACAUAAGACACACCAAGCUAAGCUUGACAACGUUUGGAUGCUUUAGAAUUGCACGGACGUGAUUAAAAUUUUCAUUACUAAA